CCCAAAUUAAAACCCCAACCUAAACUUAGGCCUCCUCCCCAAAUACAACCAACAACAGCAGAUAGCAGAAAGCAAGGGGAGAAGGGGGAUAGCUCGGCAACGAAGAAGAGGAGACUGCGCCGCGUUCUGUUGCUGCGUCGCCGCUGCUAUCUAUGUCGCACGUGAGAGAGCCGUCGAGCUCGAGGGUGAAAGACGCGCGUGAGAGAGGGAGGAGCCGCCACUACCAUCCCGCCUCGCCACCUCUUCUCUACUCUCCUCUCUGGUGUCGUUUCUUCCAUUUUCAAUUCCUUCCAACUCCCAAAAUCGAUCCCCAAUUACCCCUAAAUCCCAUUGUCUCUUUAGAAAAGAUACAAGUGAACCCUAGCUAACCUAUCCCUCCCAAAGUUCCAUCCACGAAGAACUCUGCCCCCACUACCAUUAGAAACAAUUGCCGUUACACUCUCCACUCUCAACGUCAAGUCCUUCGCCUCAAAGACCCAGAUCCAACCGUCAUCCCUCUUCCUCACCAGCACAACCAAUCAUCGGUAACACUGACAUCAUCACCAACAAACGGCCACCGCCACCACCGAAGGUCUCCAUCUGACGAAGGUUUAUUGGAGUUCGUGGUGUCGCCGUGUCUUCGACUCUCCUCUGUCUUCGUCUCCUCUUCGAUCUCUCCUCUGGAAUCGUCUUCUCUUCGUGAUUAAGGUUGGCAACCUGGUAUCCAGGAAGGAGCUGUUGACUGGGAUGAAGAUUGGGAUAAGCUUGAAGAUAAAGGUUCACCUAAGAGUGAUAAUGAGUCAAAAAAAACCCCAGACCACAGAUGAACAAGAAGUUGACAAUGAAUCCGUUCAUAAUGAGUCAAAUAAAACAUGUUGUUUAUUUUAAUUUUUUGGGGGUUCUGAAAAGAUAAUUCGCUCUUUGCUUGAUUCAGUUAUAUCUCCUUCAAUCAACAAUUUGUUAUAGUGCUAGUAGCUAUGCUUCCUUAGAUAAAAAAUUCACUUAUACUUUUUCUUUUCUAUUUUUUUCGUUAUUCCCUAUGUUUAUCUGUGAACUUCUUGUGUCAUGAAAAUUGAUUUGAGAUAUUUUGUUUUGUGUGAUAUCUGAUUUGUUCAUAUCUCAUGAAAGGCUCAAGUUUUAACAAACACUAUAUUCUGUAAUCUCAUUGUUCAUGCUGUCAUAUAUAACUUUUUUUCCCUUUGUUAGGUCUCAGAGAUAAGAAGUGUGUGCCAUGCAAUCUGAAGGAACUGCAACCAAUGACCGAGGAUGCAGCACACAUUUUGAUGCCACAUGUUUAUUUGUUUCUGAGUGGAAUUUCGUAAAAGAAGAUAGCAUUUUUAAACUGAAGAGGACACGGAAAGUAAAGACUUUCACCAAAGGCUUGGAAUUCUUCAAGAUAGUAGCUGACCUUGCUGAAAGUGAAGGCAAUUACUUUGUGCCCCAAUGUUCCUGUGUAUUGGGCGAACUGUGCUCUUUGCUAUCUUAAGCGCCAGUGAAAAACAUUACAAGAUGAGCGAACAAAUUAGAGAAGAAUUUUUUUUUGGUUUUCAAAGGACGAGAAGAAUAUGUACUAUAUUAGAGAAUAUUUUUGUUUUCACAAUAUAAUAUUUUGAUGUCUUUUGUAAUUUUUUAAGAGCUUUUACCUGGUAUUACAUGUAAUGGAUAAAUUAUACCAUAUUUUGAUUUGUGUUGUUUGGCUAAAAA